rnacentral:lncRNA from 1 species
UUUCAACAGACACAAAAACAGAACAGAAAAUAGCUCCGGAGACUGCAUCUUCCUGUGGGAUUUUGAAAUAGGAGAGCAACGACUGAAGCUCACCAAUGCCCCUGGAGAGGCGCUACUGCUGAAGCAUGCAGCAAAAAGCUCAGUCUUUCAGGCUGGUGACAGGAGGCUGAGAUGGACACAGAGUCACAACAACAGGGAUGCUUUAGAGGCAGGUAAGCAGUUUGCCAACUUCUGGAAGGAAGAGUGGAAAGCAUCUAAAUUAUACGAUAUUGGGUCUUCCCCAGCACUGCAUGAGCCUUGUCCCAGAGCCAGAUGCACCCGGUGGGAGUUCACACUGCAGGGAGACAUGCUUUUCUGUAGGAUGGUCCUCCCCUGAGACACCCCUGAAGGAUUAGUCAGACUCGCAUGCCUCAGGAGUAAAUGGGUACUGCAAAUACUGGAAGAAGAACAAAAAUAAAGCUGAGCAGAGCUGCAGCACAGGCCCAGGGAGCUGCCUGCAUGGCUGAGUGGGCCCAGGCUGUCCAUGAGGAGCCCUGCCUGGUGGGAAGGGAGCAGCUGGGAAGGGUCUGCCUGCAGCGUUCCUCAUGUUCAUCCCCUGCUCACCUGCAGAGCCCAGGGCUGUAGGGAGGUCCCUGCCCCUCGCUGCAACACCAGGGACAACCUGCCCUGCCUCUCACAAGGACAAGAGAAAAGGACAAGAGAAAAUGCCUGCAGCUGUCUUGCUCAUGGUGGGGUCCUGCAACAAUCCCAAGUAGCUACAUCACAGACAACACACCCAUGCUGUUUGUACAGCAGCAUCUCACAGAGCUCAGAGCCUGCUGCACUGAGUACAGACACAAGUGAUGCAUUGGAACAGGCUGCCCAGGGAGGUGGUGGGGUCAGCAUUCCUGGAGGUGCUCAGGGAAAGGGCAGAGGUGGUACUGAAUGAUGUGGUCUGGAAUGGGCACAGGCAUAGGUUAACAGCAAGACUGAAGGGUCGCAUAGAACUGUUGAGGCCGGACUAAUCAAUCAAUAAGUACAUGAACAAAAAAUGCUGUAGGUGCCAACAGGAAGAAUUAGUUCAGAACAGAAAAUAAUUUCCACAUCAUCCAUCUGAGGAGAAGGGGCCACAUCUGAAUGUUUGAACUGUGUGUAAACACUACAGCUAUGGCUGGAGAAGUAUGUUGAUAAAUCGCAUCUAUCCUGAGCAGGCCUGAGUGGUCUUUAGGCAGAGCAGGGCUGUUCAGUGGGACAGGAGAAUCAAUAUGGACUUUGUAAGUAGAAAGACUGCACAUAAGCAAGAUGAUUUACUUGCACAAAAUGCUAUUGUUUUAAAUGAAGCUCUGAACUCAGUAUUUUGAUAUCCAUAAAGAAUAAAACAGAAGUAAUUUUACCACCACAGGAAUGCACUGUUUUGGACUCAAAACCAACAAUGGUUCCCAGGCUUCCCUUCUGAGCCCCAGGAGGUACCAGCAGGCAUCUUCCCCACGAGAGGGGUUGUCAUCAUAAAGCAUUCAUUUGCUGAAAACAAAUAUAUUGGCUUCAACAAACUGGAAAAUGUUGGGAAUGGGACUGAAUCUGAGAGAAAAAGCUUAUAAUGAGCUUCUGGCCAUUCUGGGAUGCUUCUCCAGCCUGCUUUCUUUCUAAAAGAAAAUGAAAAUAC